UACGUAGGGCGCAAGCGUUGUCCGGAAUUAUUGGGCGUAAAGAGCUCGUAGGCGGCUUGUCACGUCGGGUGUGAAAGCCCGGGGCUUAACCCCGGGUCUGCAUUCGAUACGGGCUGGCUAGAGUGUGGUAGGGGAGAUCGGAAUUCCUGGUGUAGCGGUGAAAUGCGCAGAUAUCAGGAGGAACACCGGUGGCGAAGGCGGAUCUCUGGGCCGAUACUGACGCUGAGGAGCGAAAGCGUGGGGAGCGAACAGG
rnacentral:rRNA from 1 species